rnacentral:rRNA from 1 species
UUUGACCUGAAAUCAGGUAGGGCUACCCGC